rnacentral:rRNA from 1 species
UACAGAGGGUGCAAGCGUUAAUCGGAAUUACUGGGCGUAAAGCGUGCGCAGGCGGUUAUAUAAGACAGAUGUGAAAUCCCCGGGCUCAACCUGGGAACUGCAUUUGUGACUGUAUAGCUAGAGUACGGUAGAGGGGGAUGGAAUUCCGCGUGUAGCAGUGAAAUGCGUAGAUAUGCGGAGGAACACCAAUGGCGAAGGCAAUCCCCUGGGCCUGUACUGACGCUCAUGCACGAAAGCGUGGGGAGCAAACAGG